rnacentral:rRNA from 1 species
AGAUUGAACGCUGGCGGCAUGCCUUACACAUGCAAGUCGAACGGUAGAGUAGCAAUACUUGAGAGUGGCGAACGGGUGAGUAAUAUAUCGGAACGUGCCCAGUCGUGGGGGAUAACGUAGAGAAAUUUACGCUAAUACCGCAUACGAUCUAAGGAUGAAAGCGGGGGACGUAAGGCCUCGCGCGAUUGGAGCGGCUGAUAUCAGAUUAGGUUGUGGUGAGGUAAAAGCUCACCAAGCCGACGAUCUGUACGCUGGUUUGAGAGAACGACCAGCACACGUGGACUGAGACUACGGCCCAGACUCCGUAGGGA